ACCAGCCUUCAGGGUAGGGUGAAAUUCCCGACCGGCGGUAAUGACGAACGCACGUCUGAGCCCGCGACUCGCUAUCGCAGUUGGAUAGCGACUGACUUGGUGCAAAUCCAAGGCCGACGGUAAAGUCCGGAUGGGAGAAGGUAUUG
rnacentral:ncRNA from 2 species